GCCGCCGCGGUAAUACGUAGGGGGCAAGCGUUGUCCGGAAUGAUUGGGCGUAAAGGGCGCGUAGGCGGCCUGUUAAGUCUGGAGUGAAAUUCCCGCUUUUAAGGUGGGAACUGCUUUGGAUACUGAUGGGCUUGAGUGCAGGAGAGGUAAGCGGAAUUCCCGGUGUAGCGGUGAAAUGCGUAGAGAUCGGGAGGAACACCAGUGGCGAAGGCGGCUUACUGGACUGUAACUGACGCUGAGGCGCGAAAGUGUGGGGAGCAAACAGGAUUAGAUACCCC
rnacentral:rRNA from 1 species